AUUGAACGCUGGCGGCAGGCCUAACACAUGCAAGUCGAGCGCGAAAGUCUUCGGAUGAGUAAAGCGGCGGACGGGUGAGUAAUGCAUGGGAAUCUGCCUGGUAGUGGGGGACAACGUUUCGAAAGAGACGCUAAUACCGCAUACGCCCUACGGGGGAAAGGGGGGGAUCUUCGGACCUCUCGCUAUCAGAUGAGCCGAUGUCAGAUUAGCUAGUUGGUAGAGUAAAGGCCUACCAAGGCGACGAUCUGUAACUGGUCUGAGAGGAUGAUCAGUCACACUGGAACUGAGACACGGUCCAGACUCCUACGGGAGGCAGCAGUGGGGAAUAUUGGACAAUGUGGGAAACCCUGAUCCAGCCAUGCCGCGUGAGUGAAGAAGGCCUUCGGGUUGUAAAGCUUUGUCGGACGGGACGAAAAUGUAGUGAGUUAAUAGCUCAUUGCACUGACGGUACCGUAAAAGGAAGCACCGGCUAACUUCGUGCCAGCAGCCGCCGUAA
rnacentral:rRNA from 1 species